CGAACGGGUGAGUAACACGUGGGAAACCUACCUCUUAGCAGGGGAUAACAUUUGGAAACAGAUGCUAAUACCGUAUAACAAUAGCAACCGCAUGGUUGCUACUUAAAAGAUGGUUCUGCUAUCACUAAGAGAUGGUCCCGCGGUGCAUUAGUUAGUUGGUGAGGUAAUGGCUCACCAAGACGAUGAUGCAUAGCCGAGUUGAGAGACUGAUCGGCCACAAUGGGACUGAGACACGGCCCAUACUCCUACGGGAGGCAGCAGUAGGGAAUCUUCCACAAUGGGCGAAAGCCUGAUGGAGCAACGCCGCGUGUGUGAUGAAGGGUUUCGGCUCGUAAAACACUGUUGUAAGAGAAGAAUGACAUUGAGAGUAACUGUUCAAUGUGUGACGGUAUCUUACCAGAAAGGAACGGCUAAAUACGUGCCAGCAGCCGCGGUAAUACGUAUGUUCCAAGCGUUAUCCGGAUUUAUUGGGCGUAAAGCGAGCGCAGACGGUUAUUUAAGUCUGAAGUGAAAGCCCUCAGCUCAACUGAGGAAUUGCUUUGGAAACUGGAUGACUUGAGUGCAGUAGAGGAAAGUGGAACUCCAUGUGUAGCGGUGAAAUGCGUAGAUAUAUGGAAGAACACCAGUGGCGAAGGCGGCUUUCUGGACUGUAACUGACGUUGAGGCUCGAAAGUGUGGGUAGCAAACAGGAUUAGAUACCCUGGUAGUCCACACCGUAAACGAUGAGUGCUAGGUGUUUGAGGGUUUCCGCCCUUAAGUGCCGCAGCUAACGCAUUAAGCACUCCGCCUGGGGGAGUACGACCGCGAGGUUGAAACUCAAAGGAAUUGACGGGGACCCGCACAAGCGGGGGGAGCAUGUGGUUUAAUUCGAAGCAACGCGGAAGAACCUUACCAGGUCUU
rnacentral:rRNA from 1 species